ACAAGUACCCGUGAGGGAAAGUUGCAAAGCACUUUGAAGAGAGAGUUAAAGAGGACGUGAAACCGGUAGGAUGGAAACGGAUAGAGCCAGCGAAGUCGCUCGUAUUCAGCCAAAGGCCGGCGGCAUCGGUGUGUCGGGUUGCUAAUCACGCCUGGCGCGCCUUUUGCUUCUGGUUGAGGUGCAUUUGCGGGCGUUUGCGCUGAGACUUGCGGAUCAGCUUCUGGACCCGGGCCUAGAGGCCGUCCUCGUGGCGGAACUUGGGCACGGCGACGGUUGUUUGGUCUGCUCGUACCACGGCUUGGCCUACGGACAGGGGCGCUGUCGUUGCUUUCGGGCGUUGGCAUCGCUUGCGAUGACUCGUUCGGGGGUUGCGGUGGUGCUUCUCGUUCCCAAGUCGGCUCUCGGUGUAAAAGCUGGUCACCUAUCCGACCCGUCUUGAAACACGGACCAAGGAGUUUAGCGUAUACGCGAGCCAUUGGGUGUAAAACUCACAGGCACAAUGAAAGUGAAGGCCCAGCCGCUGGGCUGACAUGCGAGUUGGUGGGCCUCGGCCUGCCGAUGCAGCAUGGUCCCGUUCCAGUCGCUUGCGGCGGAGCGGAGACAGAGCGUAUGCGCUGAGACCCGAAAGAUGGUGAACUAUUCCUGAGCAGGAUGAAGCCAGAGGAAACUCUGGUGGAAGUCCGAAGCGAUUCUGACGUGCAAAUCGAUCGUCUGACUUGGGUAUAGGGGCGAAAGACUAAUCGAACCAUCUAGUAGCUGGU
rnacentral:rRNA from 1 species